rnacentral:rRNA from 1 species
CCUACGGGAGGCAGCAGUGGGGAAUAUUGGACAAUGGGGGGAACCCUGAUCCAGCCAUGCCGCGUGUGUGAAGAAGGCCCUCGGGUUGUAAAGCACUUUUAGUGAGGAAGAACGCCUGGUGGUUAAUACCCAUCAGGAAAGACAUCACUCACAGAAGAAGCACCGGCUAACUCCGUGCCAGCAGCCGCGGUAAUACGGAGGGUGCGAGCGUUAAUCGGAAUUACUGGGCGUAAAGCGCGCGUAGGUGGCUUGAUAAGCCGGUUGUGAAAGCCCCGGGCUCAACCUGGGAACGGCAUCCGGAACUGUCAAGCUAGAGUGCAGGAGAGGAAGGUAGAAUUCCCGGUGUAGCGGUGAAAUGCGUAGAGAUCGGGAGGAAUACCAGUGGCGAAGGCGGCCUUCUGGACUGACACUGACACUGAGGUGCGAAAGCGUGGGUAGCAAACAGGAUUAGAUACCCGUGUAGUC